UCCGUAGGUGAACCUGCGGAAGGAUCAUUACCGAGUGCGGGUCCUUUGGGCCCAACCUCCCAUCCGUGUCUAUUGUACCCUGUUGCUUCGGCGGGCCCGCCGCUUGUCGGCCGCCGGGGGGGCGCCUCUGCCCCCCGGGCCCGUGCCCGCCGGAGACCCCAACACGAACACUGUCCGAAAGCGUGCAGUCUGAGUUGAUUGAAUGCAAUCAGUUAAAACUUUCAACAAUGGAUCUCUUGGUUCCGGCAUCGAUGAAGAACGCAGCGAAAUGCGAUAACUAAUGUGAAUUGCAGAAUUCAGUGAAUCAUCGAGUCUUUGAACGCACAUUGCGCCCCCUGGUAUUCCGGGGGGCAUGCCUGUCCGAGCGUCAUUGCUGCCCUCAAGCCCGGCUUGUGUGUUGGGUCGCCGUCCCCCUCUCCGGGGGGACGGGCCCGAAAGGCAGCGGCGGCACCGCGUCCGAUCCUCGAGCGUAUGGGGCUUUGUCACAUGCUCUGUAGGAUUGGCCGGCGCCUGCCGACGUUUUCCAACCAUUCUUUCCAGGUUGACCUCGGAUCAGGUAGGGAUACCCGCUGAACUUAAGCAUAUCAAUAAGCGGAGGA
rnacentral:rRNA from 1 species